rnacentral:misc_RNA from 1 species
GUAGGUGAACCUGCGGAAGGAUCAUUAACAAAUUUUCCAACCAUUCCACGUAUGUGAACUGUUAUCCAAACCAUGGCGUGUCCCGUCCUGGAGGGCAUGGUGCGCAUUGGCCCUAGGCCAGUGUGCGCUCUCUGCUCUGCAGGCGGUCCGCCAUGCCUAUUUACCCACCUCUGACUGACACUUGAACUGAGACUUUAUGAUAAAUAUAAAGACAACUUUUAGCAACGGAUCUCUAGGCUCUC